rnacentral:tRNA from 1 species
UCCCUGGUGGCUCAGACAGUAAAGAAUCUGCCUGCAACGCAGGAGACCCAGGUUCAAUCCCUGGGUUGGGAA